CCCGACAUGGCGCAAUUGGUAGCGCGGUAGACUGUAGCGGUCACUGUAAUCUAUAGGUUCCUGGUUCGAGUCCGGGUGUUGGGA